UACGGAGGGGGUUAGCGUUGUUCGGAAUGACUGGGCGUAAAGCGCGCGUAGGCGGAUCAGGAAGUUGGGGGUGAAAUCCCGGGGCUCAACCCCGGAAUGGCCUUCAAAACUCCUGGUCUUGAGUUCGAGAGAGGUGAGUGGAAUUCCGAGUGUAGAGGUGAAAUUCGUAGAUAUUCGCAAGAACACCAGUGGCGAAGGCGGCUCACUGGCCCGAUACUGACGCUGAGGCACGAAAAGCGUGGGGGAGCAAACAGG
rnacentral:rRNA from 1 species